rnacentral:rRNA from 1 species
GACGAACGCUGGCGGCGUGCUUAACACAUGCAAGUCGAACGGAAAGGCCCUGCUUUUGUGGGGUGCUCGAGUGGCGAACGGGUGAGUAACACGUGAGUAACCUGCCCUUGACUUUGGGAUAACUUCUGGAAACUGGGGCUAAUACCGGAUAGGAGCUCCUGCUGCAUGGUGGGGGUUGGAAAGUUUCGGCGGUUGGGGAUAGACUCGCGGCUUAUCAGCUUGUUGGUGAGGUAGUGGUUUACCAAGGCUUUGACGGGUAGCCGGCCUGAGAGGGGGACCGGCCACAUGGGGACUGAGAGACGGCGCAGACGCCUACGGGAGGCAGCAGGGGGGAAUAUGGCGCAAUGGGCGGAAGCCUGAUGCAGCGACGUCGCGUGCGGGAUGACGGCCUUCGAGUUGUAAACCGCUUUCGCCGGUGACGAAGCGUGCGUGACGGUAAUGGGUAAAGAAGCACCGGCUAACUACGUG